rnacentral:lncRNA from 10 species
AUUUCUCUCCUGUGAUUAUUUCCUUACAUUUACUGAUCUAGUAAUGUCAUUUUAAAAUUCCAUUUAUACUUACUCCUUGUUGCCCUCUGCAUUCUCCCUACACGGACCUGCUUUGUGUUCCUUGAACACACCAAGUUCUUCUGUACCUUAGAGCUUUAAUACUCCCGAGUUCCUACGCCGGGGAUGGUGUUUCCUUGGAUCCCCUCAGGCUGGCUCCUCAUCUCUUAGGUGUCUGCUUAACCAGUUUUCCUAAUCAUUCAACCUAAAAUGACUUCUGAGCCAUUCACCAUUCUAUUUUUUUUGGUAAUUGCUCAGAACUGAUUAAUGGUAGCCUCAUUCUCCUAUGCAAAGAAUAUUUCACACUUAAACUAUCUUACAUCCUUGCCCCAGGACCAGGACCAUUGCCAUUGCUGUUUACAAACAGCUUUUUCUUCAGGUAAUUGCAUGGCUGGAUCUCUCUCAUGGCUUAGGUUUCAGCUCAAGUUAUCACCUCUCCAAGGAGGCCUUCCCUG